rnacentral:rRNA from 1 species
AAGCUUUUAAGGGUUGGUCUGUUCGACCAUUAAAGUCCCACGUGAUCUGAGUUCAGACCGGCGAGAGCCAAGUCAGUUUCUAUCUACGUUAAGGUCUCUC